rnacentral:rRNA from 1 species
UACGUAGGUGACAAGCGUUAUCCGGAUUCACUGGGUUUAAAGGGUGCGUAGGAGGGCAGGUAAGUCAGUGGUGAAAUCUCCGAGCUUAACUUGGAAACUGCCGUUGAUACUAUCUGCCUUGAAUAUUGUGGAGGUGAGCGGAAUAUGUCAUGUAGCGGUGAAAUGCUUAGAUAUGACAUAGAACACCAAUUGCGAAGGCAGCUCGCUACACAUAUAUUGACUCUGAGGCACGAAAGCGUGGGGAUCAAACAGG